UACGUAGGGGGCGAGCGUUAAUCGGAAUUACUGGGCGUAAAGCGUGCGCAGGCGGUUAUGUAAGACAGAGGUGAAAUCCCCGGGCUCAACCUGGGAACUGCCUUUGUGACUGCAUGACUAGAGUACGGCAGAGGGGGAUGGAAUUCCGCGUGUAGCAGUGAAAUGCGUAGAUAUGCGGAGGAACACCGAUGGCGAAGGCAGUCCCCUGGGCCUGUACUGACGAUCAUGCACGAAAGAGUGGGGAGCAAACAGG
rnacentral:rRNA from 1 species